CACGUAGGGGGCGAGCGUUGUCCGGAUUUAUUGGGCGUAAAGAGCUCGUAGGCGGUUCGGCAAGUCGGGUGUGAAAUUUCGAGGCUCAACCUCGAAACGCCACUCGAUACUGCUGUGACUGGAGUCCGGUAGAGGAGUGUGGAAUUCCUGGUGUAGCGGUGAAAUGCGCAGAUAUCAGGAGGAACACCAAUGGCGAAGGCAGCACUCUGGGACGUGACUGACGCUGAGACGCGAAAGCGUGGGGAGCAAACAGG
rnacentral:rRNA from 1 species